GUUUGUUGAUGCUAGAGAGAGAGGAGAGAAGGAGAGAGAGAGAGAGAGAGUCACGUGUACGAACAAAUCAUUCCGUAGCUGGGAUCCAUUAUUACCGCAGAAGUGGUGUGUGUGUGCCAAAGUCAACCCUCUGCUCUACCUCUCUCUCUCUCUCUCUCCCUCUCUCUCUCCCUCUCUCUCCAACUCCCUGU
rnacentral:miRNA from 14 species